GAGCGUCAAAAUGUCAAUGUUUCCUGAAAUCUUAUUUAUUCGUCAAGAAAGAAGUUAUGAAAAGUGUUCAAAUGGCAAUUCAAUCGAGAAAGGUGGUCGAACAUUUGAGUAAAAAGCUUUCAUAUUGUUCUGUAUGGUGCCUAUCAGUUCGUUCGUCGCACCGUACACACUGUUGCCACUAGUCGUCACAGCUGGUCAUGGGCCCGUUCCACGUCACGCUGCGGAGGAAGCGAGACGAAGUGCGAGGCUUCGGAGCAUCGCGUUAAUCGUUUUCCGAGCUCUCCUCAUCCUCAAACGCAACCAACACAUUGGAUUCGUCACGAAAGCAAUUAUUUCUACGAAUCGAAUAUCCAACGAAUCAACGCAACGUAUCGAGUCUUCGAGAACCCAAGUGUCGUGCGAGUGCGCACAGGGAAUUCCAAUUCAGUCUGGCAAGUGACGUUUAUGUUGCAUCAGAUGUUGAAAGCGCUGCAUUCAAAAUUCCAACUUUUUACUCGUCUCACAAAAGUGAUGAAAUCGUCAGAAAUCUUACGAAAAUGUAGGCCCGGCGGGCCUCGGGCCACCGCACGACGGAGCUGUCAACGUGUACUUGGUCCGGGACUCUGCCGAGUUUCUUGAUAACGCAGUUGACAGUUUCCCACGUUACACAAUCACUCGCUCGAGUUCAAAUUGAUAAGAAGUGCAGCUCCAGUGCUUCGGUGUUCGAGGGCCUACUGUUGCAGUCUCUGGUUCGAGAUUAUUUCGAUUCUCAACAGACACGAACGGGUUUUUCAGGAAAAUAUUUAAAAGUCUUUGGUACCGUUGAGUUUUUUUCCAUCACCAGGAAUUGGUUCUGAUCGGCCCUUCGCGUUUUCGAUGCAGAACGCAUUCCGCAACGAAGCCUUUUGUUUUGCAACGAUGUCGUUGGCAAUUGUCCCAGAAUUAUACGAAAACGCUUUUUUCGCACAAUAGAAAAGCGAUGAACUUGAAACAUCCAUUUUUUCUAUGUCAAUCCUCCCUCCCACUGAUUCCAGCUCAACGGGCCAGCCGAAUCUCGAGAUACCGGGCUCGCCCAUCAAUGAAACAUAUUUUAGAAAAAAAGCCUCUUUGCAGUACUCGACACAGCUUUUUUUCGGAAAAAGCUGUCGAGAUGUCGGAAUAAAACAAAGUUCAAGAUUCCCUCGCAUCGCUUUCCUCUGCAUUGAAUUUUCAGUUGACUGGUACAAAGUUGUUCCCACUCAACAAUUUUUACAAAAGUAUCACAAAUUUAUCGAUUCCCAGCCGUUUCGAAUAGCCAGUGAAUCGAACUCGAAUAUAGAGAAACGGUGAGAAUACUCAGACACAAAAAACAAAGAAGCUGACAAUCGAAAGCGUCGGUGAGGAAAAUGGCAAUUUUUCCGUGACCCACGUGUGUUUACGUGUACAUAAAAGCUGUUUGAUUGAACGAAUCGCACGCGCGCUUAAAUAAAUGAGUAAUCGUCUGUGACCUUUUCUUA